rnacentral:rRNA from 1 species
UACGUAGGGGGCUAGCGUUGCUCGGAAUGACUGGGCGUAAAGGGCGCGUAGGCGGAGUGCUUUGUCGGGCGUGAAAUUCCAGGGCUCAACCUUGGGUCUGCGUUCGAGACGGGUGCUCUUGAGUGGGGAAGAGGGUCGUGGAAUUCCCAGUGUAGAGGUGAAAUUCGUAGAUAUUGGGAAGAACACCGAUGGCGAAGGCGGCGACCUGGUCCUUUUACUGACGCUGAGGCGCGAAAGCGUGGGGAGCAAACAGG